rnacentral:rRNA from 1 species
AGGUAGCUUGCUACCGAUCUUAGCGGCGGACGGGUGAGUAAUGCUUAGGAAUCUGCCUAUUAGUGGGGGACAACAUUUCGAAAGGAAUGCUAAUACCGCAUACGUCCUACGGGAGAAAGCAGGGGAUCUUCGGACCUUGCGCUAAUAGAUGAGCCUAAGUCGGAUUAGCUAGUUGGUGGGGUAAAGGCCUACCAAGGCGACGAUCUGUAGCGGGUCUGAGAGGAUGAUCCGCCACACUGGGACUGAGACACGGCCCAGACUCCUACGGGAGGCAGCAGUGGGGAAUAUUGGACAAUGGGCGCAAGCCUGAUCCAGCCAUGCCGCGUGUGUGAAGAAGGCCUUAUGGUUGUAAAGCACUUUAAGCGAGGAGGAGGCUACUUUAGUUAAUACCUAGAGAUAGUGGACGUUACUCGCAGAAUAAGCACCGGCUAACUCUGUGCCAGCAGCCGCGGUAAUACAGAGGGUGCAAGCGUUAAUCGGAUUUACUGGGCGUAAAGCGCGCGUAGGCGGCUAAUUAAGUCAAAUGUGAAAUCCCCGAGCUUAACUUGGGAAUUGCAUUCGAUACUGGUUAGCUAGAGUGUGGGAGAGGAUGGUAGAAUUCCAGGUGUAGCGGUGAAAUGCGUAGAGAUCUGGAGGAAUACCGAUGGCGAAGGCAGCCAUCUGGCCUAACACUGACGCUGAGGUGCGAAAGCAUGGGGAGCAAACAGGAUUAGAUACCCUGGUAGUCCAUGCCGUAAACGAUGUCUACUAGCCGUUGGGGCCUUUGAGGCUUUAGUGGCGCAGCUAACGCGAUAAGUAGACCGCCCGGGGGAGUACGGUCGCAAGACUAAAACUCAAAUGAAAUUGACGGGGGCCCGCACAAGCGGUGGAACAAGGUGGUUUAAUUCGAUGCAACGCGAAGAACCUUACCUGGCCUUGACAUAGUAAGAACUUUCCAGAAAAUGGGAUUGGUGCCCUUCGGGAACUUACAUACAGGUGCUGGCAGGGCUGUCGUUCAGCUCGUGU